rnacentral:lncRNA from 1 species
CAGAGGUUUUUUUGGAAUGCAGGGUGUGGCCCUCUAACACAGCGAAAAAGAAAUGAGUCAGCCCGGGCGAUCCUAACCAAUAAGCGUGUUCACUGUCGGCUAAGGCGGAACUUUCCUGUCUUGAUUUAUAUCAGCCUUUAAAAAAGAACUUGUUUGUUUUGUUUUGUUUUGUUUUUCCCGAACUUCAGCCUUAGCAACUUCCAAGAAAAUGGUCGAUAGCUCUUUAAAAACUCUUUCAAAACAAGAACUAAUCUCGUCAUGACAGACAGAUCCGUGGAGUCCAGCACGUUAGAGUGGAAAGAGCACUGCACCAGGAGUCCAGAGCUCCAGCACUAAUCCCAGCUGUGCCCACACGUGACCAGGAGCCCAGCGCUAAGUCAACCGUGACCAGGAGCCCAGCGCUAAGUCAACCGUGUCAUCUCUCUGAAGGGCUCCAAGAGUUCUUCCACCCGAAAGACCAACUUAUGGCCAAAAAGGGCAGGCGCAAGGAUCCAGUCAAGCUUAAAAUUCACAGAAUGGGUGCUCUGUCCAGGAAGAAGGGCAUCAUACAUACGUCCACCUGCAAUCACUAACUCAAAGCACUUGAAAGAUGUUUACAAUAAUCCUUAUGCUUCCAAAGUAAAGACACAGUUGCCAAUGUUG